GUUAGAGGAGCUUAUUAGAAAACGGGGGGGAAAAAAAUGCAAUAAAAUUAGAAAGAUGUGAAUUAAAACAAGUGAUGAAAUCCAGUCCCUGCUGACGGCAAGGGGAGACCUCUCUCCGCACGCACCCUUUCUGGGCUUGGAAGAUGCCCAGGCAUUGAUAAACGUUUUAUGAGAGCCCGGCUCGGCUGCAGCACGCUCUGCAUUGCUCUGGGAGGAGAACCCCCAGGCACUUUUCAUCUCCGAGUGUUCGCGAGUGAAGCCAAACCAUGCAGCUCUGCUCUCGGGGCUGCAAUUACCAACACUGUGCACACGGAAAGCGAAGCUAGAGCAGCACCAGCCAUAGCCGGUCGCUUGGGGAACACGUCCUGCGAGACAAGUGCAUGUCCCUGUGAUGUAGCGAGCUGGGGAGGUGCUCCCCUCCAAGGGCACAAAGCAUGGAUGAAGCUGCCUGUGCUACAGCUCCUUGACCUUGGUGUUAGAACCAAUGGUUUCGUGCUGUUCACCUUCCGAGCCCUCCUGGUGCCUGGGCACUAAGAGCCCAUGGAAUGAGGAUGGCUCCUCAGUGGUGAAGAACAGGAGGACCAGGUGGGCCAAUGGCUUGGUCAACACAGCUCUGGGCCGACAUAUCCUUUUGGAAGCUGCCAACUUGCCAGCAUGGCUUCUGGUUUCUGACUGCCCACUGCAGGACUUCUUUGCACACAUGGUUGUUGCGCUUCUUCCAUGUGUGCAUUGAACCUCCUGCCCCCCGCCAGCUUAGGCCAACUCUCUGCCAGAACAUAGAAUGAUGGAAUCAUUCAGGUUGGAAAGACUGAUAAGAUCAUCUAGUCCGACCAUCAGCUCGUGUGUGUGACUGCUGUACACCAUGCCACUCAGUGCCACACCUCCAUGGUUCUUGAACAUCUCCAGGGAUGGUGACCCCCCACCUCCCUGGGCAGCUGUGCCACUGCAUCACCACUCUGAGAAGAAAUUUUUCCUACAGCACUGAAUGCUGUGAUUCAUAAGGGCUCUCCCAUUCUGCUUCUCCCCCUAGGAGGCUCGUGCUGUAUUAUCCAGCAUCUAAAGCUAAGUGGAGUGAAAGCCCAAAAUCUAAUUUUGAAAAUAAUAAUAAAAGAAGAUUUAAUCAUGUGUCAUCUGUGCUCUAUGCCACUCCGGUGAAUCAUAACCCUUCGUUACCAGCGAGUUUCAUGGUUUAGGAUCCCAGUGCCAGCACAGAAACCCUGAGCCCAG
ensembl:lncRNA